rnacentral:rRNA from 1 species
GACGUAGGGCGCGAGCGUUGUCCGGAUUUAUUGGGCGUAAAGAGCUCGUAGGCGGCUUGUCGCGUCGUCCGUGAAAACCCACAGCUCAACUGUGGGCUUGCGGUCGAUACGGGCAGGCUAGAGUUCGGUAGGGGAGACUGGAAUUCCUGGUGUAGCGGUGAAAUGCGCAGAUAUCAGGAGGAACACCGGUGGCGAAGGCGGGUCUCUGGACAUUUCCUGACGCUGAGGCACGAAAGCCAGGGGAGCAAACGGG